rnacentral:lncRNA from 1 species
GUGACACGGAUGUUCUGCCGAGAGAGUGGGUGGACUGUGAUCUCGACUGAUUUGCAAUAUCUCAAGCGCAGAAAUUGCUGCAGGACUUGAUCGUGAUGUGCCUGUGGCAUCCACGUGUCUCUGUGUCUUCAGCUCAUCCAGGAUGAGAUUAAGGCCUUAUUGCGGCUGCAGCAGAAGGCGGGGCAGUCGGCCGCCACUCAGGAGAGUACUGCCACCGUAGCCAAACAAAGGGCGGGCCCUAAGGGCCUGCAGAAUGACCAAGGCUCCUCCCCCUCGGCCCCGCCCCAAGCGGCCAGUGCAGGCGAGAGCUCGGAAGAGGGUGCCGUCAGCGGGUACGGAACACUCUCCACAUGGGAGGCGGAGUUAGAGGCGGAGUCACAUCUCCUGCCUUCCCCCUUGGCAGACCCCUGCCUAUCCAAUCAGGAGCACCAGCAGAGACCCGGCUCCACACCCAUUGGGCACACCCACCAGCACAUGCCCUGCAGGCAAGCGUUGACCUCUUGGGCGCAGCGACAGCAGCGUGGCCAAAAGAGAGGAGGUCGAAGGUCACGCAACUCCCCUCCACCGGCUCAGGAGAAGAGUGAGGCUGGGGCAACAGGCAGAACGCCACCAGCAGAUCACCAAGAACAGCUUGGCUGCCCAGCAGACUCCUCCAGCCCCAGCUCCCUAAAGAGGAGUGACAGCCUCGUGUCUGAAGCCUCAGGUAAGAACUGGGUCUUCCUUUCCUACUCCACAAACACAGAUCUGCUCCGAUCGUGCCCAAC